rnacentral:lncRNA from 12 species
GAGAACAGCUCCGGCUGCAGCCACUUUCCAGGGCCGCGCUGCCACAUGGAGGGAGGACAGCUCGGAGGACUCGGCGACGACUGCAACUACCCUGGCUCCCACUGUCUGCAGGAGUGCUGAGGCAUCAGAAGGGACUUCCAGGAGGGUGGCAUCACGGUGAAGACAACAGGUGUGUGCCCGAAGGACUGGCCCUCCAGAGAAUUUAUUUGCUAUCCAUCAUCCAAGUGGCAGAAAAGUAG